UGGGAGGUGUUCUUCUGCUCUGCACUUCCAGCUCAAUGGGUUGCAGGCCUAGUAGCCUGGAAGUUGUCCAGCAGGGUCUGAGGGCGUUAGGAUCUGAGGGGUUUGAGGGCAGGGUGCUGACAGUGUCUGCUAUACUCCCCAGAGCGGAUGUAAGU